rnacentral:rRNA from 1 species
AGGUCUAGUGGCGAACGGGUGCGUAACAGGUAGGUAACGUGCCCUGUGCGUCGGGAUAGCGACUCGAGAGGGGCGAUAAUACCGGAUGCUGUCAUUGAGCGACAGUUCAAUGAUGAAAGGGUAACCGGCACAGGAGCGGCCUGCCUCCUAUCAGCUUGUUGGUGAGGUAAAAGCUCACCAAGGCAACGACGGGUAGCGGGACUGAGAGGUUGACCCGCCACAUCGGGACUGAGACACUGCCCGGAGCCCCACGGGGGGCUGCAGUAACGAAUCUUCCACAAUGGGCGAAAGCCUGAUGGAGCGACGCCGCGUGCGGGAAGAAGUCCUUCGGGAUGUAAACCGCUGUCAGGGACAAGAAACUCCCGGUUCGCCGGGAUUGAUCUACCCCUGAGGAAGUCACGGCUAACUUCGUGCCAGCAGCCGCGGUAAGACGAAGGUGGCUAGCGUUGUUCGGUAUCACUGGGCUUAAAGGGUAUGUAGGCGGAAUGGAAAGCGUCGUGUGAAAGCCCUCGGCUUAACCGAGGAAUUGCUCGGCGAACUUCCAUUCUUGAGGCAAACAGGGGUGCGCGGAACUCUUGGUGGAGCGGUGGAAUGCGUAGAUAUCAAGAGGAACGCCGGUGGCGAAAGCGGCGCACUAGGUUUGCACUGACGCUGAAGUACGAAAGCGUGGGGAGCGAACGGGAUUAGAUA